UGACUGUGCUGUGGUGGUGAUGGUUGGC
rnacentral:piRNA from 1 species